UAGGCUGUGAAAACACUCAAGUCCAUCAAGGUUAGACAUUCACAUGUCUGUAUUGUUGGUGUUGAUCCAAAAGAAGGGGAAGGCAAUGGAGAAAAAUGCAAUUUGAAACAAUUUCCAAUAUUACCACAAAUCAGACACACAUGUCCAAAAUUGCACCACAUAUUCAAAGGUAGGGUCUUACCAUUGAUUUAUGAAAAUGCUAAAUAAUAUGUUUUUUUUUUCUUGUGACUCAAUAAAACCCC